rnacentral:rRNA from 1 species
UACAGAGGGGGCGAGCGUUAAUCGGAAUUACUGGGCGUAAAGCGCGCGUAGGUGGUUUGUUAAGUUGGAUGUGAAAGCCCCGGGCUCAACCUGGGAACUGCAUUCAAAACUGACAAGCUAGAGUAUGGUAGAGGGUGGUGGAAUUUCCUGUGUAGCGGUGAAAUGCGUAGAUAUAGGAAGGAACACCAGUGGCGAAGGCGACCACCUGGACUGAUACUGACACUGAGGUGCGAAAGCGUGGGGAGCAAACAGG